GAGUUUGAUCAUGGCUCAGAUUGAACGCUAGCGGGAUGCCUUACACAUGCAAGUCGAACGGCAGCACGGACUUCGGUCUGGUGGCGAGUGGCGAACGGGUGAGUAAUGUAUCGGAACGUGCCUAGUAGCGGGGGAUAACUACGCGAAAGCGUAGCUAAUACCGCAUACGCCCUACGGGGGAAAGCAGGGGAUCGCAAGACCUUGCACUAUUAGAGCGGCCGAUAUCGGAUUAGCUAGUUGGUGGGGUAACGGCUCACCAAGGCGACGAUCCGUAGCUGGUUUGAGAGGACGACCAGCCACACUGGGACUGAGACACGGCCCAGACUCCUACGGGAGGCAGCAGUGGGGAAUUUUGGACAAUGGGGGAAACCCUGAUCCAGCCAUCCCGCGUGUGCGAUGAAGGCCUUCGGGUUGUAAAGCACUUUUGGCAGGAAAGAAACGUCAUGGGUUAAUACCCCGUGAAUCUGAC
rnacentral:rRNA from 1 species